CCUACGGGAGGCAGCAGUGGGGAAUAUUGGACAAUGGGGGCAACCCUGAUCCAGCCAUGCCGCGUGUGUGAAGAAGGCCCUCGGGUUGUAAAGCACUUUCAGUGAGGAAGAACGCCUGGUGGUUAAUACCCAUCAGGAAAGACAUCACUCACAGAAGAAGCACCGGCUAACUCCGUGCCAGCAGCCGCGGUAAUACGGAGGGUGCGAGCGUUAAUCGGAAUUACUGGGCGUAAAGCGCGCGUAGGUGGCUUGAUAAGCCGGUUGUGAAAGCCCCGGGCUCAACCUGGGAACGGCAUCCGGAACUGUCAAGCUAGAGUGAAGGAGAGGAAGGUAGAAUUCCCGGUGUAGCGGUGAAAUGCGUAGAGAUCGGGAGGAAUACCAGUGGCGAAGGCGGCCUUCUGGACUGACACUGACACUGGGGUGCGAAAGCGUGGGUAGCAAACAGGAUUAGAUACCCCUGUAGUC
rnacentral:rRNA from 1 species